GGUGUGUACUGGUCUUUCCGCCCUUCCUUCUGGUUUUUGCUACCUUCUGCUCUUAACUGAGCGGGAGAAUAGCUCCAGAUCGUUUACUUUGAAAAAAUUAGAGUGUUCAAAGCAGGUACCAAAAACUUUACGCCUUGAAUACAUUAGCAUGGGAUAAUAAAAUAGGACGUGCGGUUCUAUUUUGUUGGUUUCUAGAGUCGCCGUAAUGAUUAAUAGGGAUAGUUGGGGGCAUUGGUAUUGAGUCGCUAGAGGUGAAAUUCUUGGAUUGACUCAAGACCAACAACUGCGAAAGCAUUUGCCAAGGAUGUUUUCAUUAAUCAAGAACGAAGGUUAGGGGAUCGAAAACGAUCAGAUACCGUUGUAGUCUUAACAGUAAACUAUGCCGACUAGGGAUCGGGCGACCUCAAUUUUUAUGUGUCGCUCGGCACCUUACGAGGAAUCAAAGUCUUUGGGUUCUGGGGGGAGUAUGGUCGCAAGGCUGAAACUUAAAGGAAUUGACGGAAGGGCACCACCAGGUGUGGAGCCUGCGGCUUAAUUUGACUCAACACGGGGAAACUCACCAGGUCCAGACAUAACUAGGAUUGACAGAUUGAUAGCUCUUUCAUGAUUUUAUGGGUGGUGGUGCAUGGCCGUUCUUAGUUGGUGGAGUGAUUUGUCUGGUUAAUUCCGAUAACGAACGAGACCUUAACCUGCUAAAUAGCCAGGCCGUCUUUGGAUGGUCGCCGGCUUCUUAGAGGGACUGUCAG
rnacentral:rRNA from 1 species